AUUGUCUAAGACUAAGCCAUGCACGUCUAAGUACAAACUAAAUGAUGGUGAAACUGCAAAUGGCUCAUUACAACGGUUAUGAUGUACCCGGGAGUUCCGAUGGAUAUUUCCAGUAACACUAGAACUAAUACAUGUCCCUGCGUUUAUUAGUUUCGCACAGUCCGUCGCUGAGUCAUGGUAAACAGUUGAUCGACUCGACGUCCCGGAACAGUUUCCGCCCCAUCAGCUUCGAUGGUUGGGUAUUGGCCUACCAUUGCAACAACGGGUAACGAGGAAUUAGGGUUUGAUUUCGGAGAGGGAGCCUGAGAAACGGCUACCACAUCUACGGAUGGCAGCAGGCGCGCAAAUUACCCAAUGCAGACACUGUGAGGUAGUGACGAGAAAUAAUAAAGCGGGACUUCUGUUUCGCUAUUAUAAUGAGGAAUAACCAAAGGUCAUUCCGAUUAACAACUGAUGGGAAAGUCUGGUGCCAGCAGCCGCGGUAAUACCAGCGUCAGUAG
rnacentral:rRNA from 1 species